rnacentral:rRNA from 1 species
CUACGGGUGGCUGCAGUUAGGAAUAUUCUACAAUGCGCGCAAGCGUGAUAGAUUGAGCCAGAGUGUUUUUCAAAUGAAAAGCUUUUGUGAAAUGUAAAAAGUUUCACGAAUAAGGACUGGGUAAGACUAGUGCCAGCCGCCGCGGUAAUACUAGCGGUCCAAGUCGCAGCCAUUUUUAUUGGGUCUAAAACAUCCGUAGCUUGCUUAAUAAGUUCCUUGUGAAAUUUUAUCUCUCAAAGAUAGAGCGUGCAAGAAAUACUGUUAAGCUAGAGACUGGAAGACGUAACGAGUACGUUCGGAGUAGCGGUAAAAUGUGUUAAUCCUGGACGGACUAACAAUAGCGAAGGCACGUUACGAGGACAGUUCUGACAGUAAGGGAUGAAGGCUAGGGGCGCAAAACGGAUUAGAUACCCCAGUAGUC